rnacentral:rRNA from 1 species
UUCCGCGUGCAGGANGAAGGCCCUCGGGUUGUAAACUGCUUUUGUACGGAACGAAAAGGUCUCUCUUAAUACGGGGGGCUCAUGACGGUACCGUAAGAAUAAGCACCGGCUAACUACGUGCCAGCAGCCGCGGUAAUACGUAGGGUGCAAGCGUUAAUCGGAAUUACUGGGCGUAAAGCGUGCGCAGGCGGUUAUAUAAGACAGAUGUGAAAUCCCCGGGCUCAACCUGGGAACUGCAUUUGUGACUGUAUAGCUAGAGUACGGUAGAGGGGGAUGGAAUUCCGCGUGUAGCAGUGAAAUGCGUAGAUAUGCGGAGGAACACCGAUGGCGAAGGCAAUCCCCUGGACCUGUACUGACGCUCAUGCACGAAAGCGUGGGGAGCAAACAGGAUUAGAUACCCUGGUAGUCCACGCCCUAAACGAUGUCAACUGGUUGUUGGGUCUUCACUGACUCAGUAACGAAGCUAACGCGUGAAGUUGACCGCCUGGGGAGUACGGCCGCAAGGUUGAAACU